ensembl:snRNA U6 U6 spliceosomal RNA
GUGCUUGCUUCGGCAGCACACAUACUAAAAAAUUGGAACAAUACAGAGAAGUUUAGCAUGGUCCCUGCGCAAGGAUGACCCGCAAAUUCAUGAAGCGUUCCAUAUUUAA